rnacentral:lncRNA from 1 species
GUGAAAGUGGGGUGGGGGGGAAGUCGGGGAGAGUUGAAUGCUUCCCUGAUCUGCUCCAACUGGAAAUAGCCCUGAGUGGCUGGCAGCCUUGCUCCAGAGCUCAGAGUACCCAGGGCAGCUCCUGAUUUUAUAGGCUAAUCUGAGACCGAGUCAGUUGCCUUGGGAUAUUAGGUCUACGGGGUAAGGUGACAAGGAGCUGGGAAGGGAGCCCCCCAAACCCCCACGUGCUGUGGCUUCACAGGUGGGUGCAUCAGACUUCUGUGCUGCCCUGCUUCUGUUUCCCUCACUAAGUUCUGAAAUAGAUAAUCGCACCGAGGUGGGGGCCAGGCCAGUCCAACACAGGCGCUCUGAGGUUGGCCCGCAAUGCGGAAACUGUCAGUUAUCCUGUUGGAGGUCCUCCCUCCAUUUCUCGGAGCAGGGUCCUCAUUCCUGUUAUAGACCCGUUGGUACAAUGCUGAUGUUCUAAUCCCUUUACCCUCUUCUCCGACCAAGAGAAAUGCGUGCACCCGAAAGAGGAGGAGGCCAGGGAGGGAGGGAAGGAAGAAAAGGAGACAGAGAAGAAGGAAGAGAAUCCUUGCGAAAGGAACAAUCCAGGAUCCAGCCCCUUGACCUGGAAGCCAGACUUCUUCUGACGUCUACAAGACCAUGCAGGUGAGCUGCGUGUUUCUUGAUUAUCAGCUGUGUGCACGGCUCUGAACUUGGGGCCGGGGCAGUGAAAUCGUGUGGGGAUUUUUCUGGUUGUUAUUAUUAGUUGUUUUUCUAAGAAAAGAGUAAAUCCUACCCCAAAAGGCAUUCCUAAUCACAGUGACAAAGAUCUAGGUUGGUUCUGGGGCACACGCAGCUUGACAGCUUUAUCUGAACUGACCAGUUACUAAGGAGUCAAAACGGUGCUUUCAGCUACUUGGAAACAGGUACUUUUACCUUAGUGUUACACGUGAUUUCAAAACAACACAAGUGUGAAUCCCCAAGGUUGCAUAUGCAGCUGAUAAUGCCUGUGACAGGGACUUUCCAGGCUUUUCAGCAAAAAACACAAGUCAGUGCAAAUUGGCCUUCUGGAAACAGAGUUCAAAAGCACUGAGGGGAGGCAAGGUUAUGUAACUCCCGAGAAGUUCAAGGCGAGGUCGAUGUGGGCAAGCAGAGCGGUGUUUGGGACUGCAUUAGGGAACGGUGGUCCAGUUUACUAGUCGGC